rnacentral:rRNA from 1 species
CAGCCGCCGCGGGAAUACGUAGGGUGCGAGCGUUAAUCGGAGUUACUGGGCGUAAAGCGUGCGCAGGCGGUUCGUUAAGACAGAUGUGAAAUCCCCGGGCUUAACCUGGGAACUGCAUUUGUGACUGGCAAGCUAGAGUAUGGCAGAGGGGGGUGGAAUUCCGCGUGUAGCAGUGAAAUGCGUAGAUAUGCGGAGGAACACCGAUGGCGAAGGCAGCCCCCUGGGCCAAUACUGACGCUCAUGCACGAAAGCGUGGGGAGCAAACAGGAUUAGAUACCCCCGUAGUCCCUGUCUCUUAUAC